UUUUUCUUUAUUUUCAAAAGUAACUAUUAUCAGACUACUAUAUAUAAAAGGUUUUUCUCAUAAUUAAGGCUACCCACCGACAUUUCUCCAAGCCCUAUAGUAACUAAACAAUAAGGUUUGGAGGGUAAGUAAAUACUGUUGAAAAGAAUUCAAAAAAAGAAAGACUUUUUCACAAUAUAUAUACCUGUCAAGUGGAAGCAACAUGGAAUAGAUACACAAGGAACGUGGAAAAGGAUUUCAAAAAAAUGAAUUCUUUUUGAUAAUGAUCCUUCCGCAGGUUCACCUACGGAAA
rnacentral:misc_RNA from 1 species